AUUCAAUUGUGGCAUAUACAGUCGUGCCCCGAUUAUCCGGACACUUGUGUUUUUCUUGAAAUUGUCCAGAUAAACGAAUUUCCGGAUAUCUGAACCACAGACUAUAUGUAAAAAGACAUACA